GUCAAACUCAAAUCCAGUACGCAGCUGCAGCGCACGAACUAAAUCUCCCCCCGACGGGCGGCGGCCCCGGCCUAGAUCCUUCCUCCAAGCUGGGCGAGUUUACCUGGUGGAGGUGCUGUUCCAUCUCUCCGAUGGCUCAUCGACGUUGUGUCGCCGGUGGCCCAGUUUGAGGCGGUGCAGAUCGGAGCUCAUCGGCUGCUAAGCUUCGCCCCGUAGUGUGCUCAUCGCGGCCUUCCAUCUGAAGCUCCGGUUGCGUUGGGUUUCUUUGCCUCCUCCUCUCUCUUAGGCUCCAGAUCAGCUCGCGUCUUCUACCCCUCGUUGACGGCAAGCCAAUGUGGUUUCCUCAGCCCCUUCCCGACUGGCCGAACCUACAUGCCGUGAACACGACGGUUCAUUUUCCUGGUCUGAUCUCUCCCAGCACAAGAAGCUUGAUGAACGAGAAGCACUAGAAUUGGAGGCAAGGCUGCAGCUUUUCUGUUGUGUACCAUCAGGCUUGCCAAGUUGAUGCAUUUUCAGUGACAAUGCUUGUUGAGCUAUGAUUAUUUUAGUCAUUCAUAAUUAGUCUUGCCCGUGUUGUACCCAAAAAUGACCCUCUCAUGCAAUGUAACACUUGAUAUGCAUGUGUCU